CCCUUAGAUGUUCUGGGCCGCACGCGCGCUACACUGAUGCAUUCAACGAGUCUAAAACCUGCUCUGAUAGGGGUGGGUAAUCUUUUGAAUGUGCAUCGUGAUUGGGAUAGAUGAUUGCAAUUUUUCAUCUUCAACGAGGAAUGCCUAGUAAACGCAAGUCAUCAGCUUGCAUUGAUUACGUCCCUGCCCUUUGUACACGCCGCCCGUCGCUCCUACCGAUUGAAUGGUCCGAUGAAUAUCAUGGAUUGAGGAUGCAAGUAGGUUCGCCUAUCUUCAUCUUCGAGAAGUGAAGUAAAUCUUAUCAUUUAGAGGAAGGAGAAGUCGUAACA
rnacentral:rRNA from 1 species